CCUUCAGCAGCCCCGCCCCGAGCCAGCGCCCGCGUCUGCGCCUGCGCCUGCCUGCCGUCCGGACCCGGCCGGCGCCGCGGGCAGAGGGGUAGGGACUCGCCGGGGACCCCGCGCCCCACGUCCCGCCUCGCCCCGCCCCGCCCGCGCGCCCUUCCCGGACUCGCUCCGUGUCCCCCCGCCCCGCUCCGGCUGUGGCGCUUAUCUGGGCGGCCACGUGGGAAGCCGGUGACCCUGGGGGCAGCGUUCCGGCCUCCACGCCGUGUUCUCAUCUCUGCGGGGAAACAGCAUUAAGGCCGACCCCAAUCUGUUUCAGUGACCUUUUCUCGACAGAAGCGUCGCUGCCAGCUGCUGCCAGGGAACACGCACAAACACACGUCCUCGGGGGGGACUUCGGCCUAAGAGAAGCAGAAGUCCUGGCUUUCCCUCUUGGGGGCCGAGGAGGCGGGUUCCCUCUUGUUUUCUCGGUGACAGCUUUUUCCUUCUCCAGGGCCACGCCUUUCCUUCCUUAUCUCUCUGGCCACCUCUCUCCCCCUCACUCCUCAUUCAAGGAAAGUCUUUAGGGGAUUGAAUUUUGACUUCUUUUCUGAGGAAUUUCUCAGCUACAACCCCCCCCCCCCAGCUCAUUCCUCUCCCAGCUUUUCCACUUCCUGCCGGAAUCUUUUCAUCUCUCUCAGGCCCCUUCCCACCCACUCUCUAACAUAACCUGGCUUUUAUCUCCCUUCCUUUUUGGCUCACCCGAUAAGGUAGAUAGUUAGGGGUGUCUUUUAGCCCAUGCCUCCCCUUCCUCUGAGAAUCUCGCUCACACACACACACACACACACACACACACACACACACGGAGGGGCCCUUGGUAGCCAGUGGUCCAGCGUGUGGCUUUGCUGCUAGGGUAUCAGGGAAAUACAGGACCCACAGCGGGGUCAAGCCUCCCCUCGCUUCUAGACUUUGGAAUUGAGCUUGAGAUGUUGCAGCCUGAGCUGGGCUCUCAGAUGCAGGAAAUGCAGACAGGGAAGGCUUCGCUGUGUGGAAGUUGAGUCGGUGAAAACCGGUCUGCAGAGAAGAAUGAAGACAGGUUUUCAGAGAGAAGCAGAGAGGAGGCUGGAAGAGAGAGUAACUGCCUAGGAGUGUGACAACUUUCCAGUUCCUGCUUCGUGUUUGAGAGCAGCUGUCCUUGGCUUCCUUGAUGUUCACUACGAGUGUGGUGUAAGUCUGUAGGAGUUUGGAUGUAUUUCACUGCAAGUAAGAGAGAACCUAAGUGACCAUGGCUUGAACCGUUAGGACACAUUGUUUCCUUACGAAGUCUGAAGACAGGCAGAGCCAGGGUGUGUUCAGUUCAGCUAUAUCAUCAAGGACCCAGACUCUUUGAUCUUUUGGCUAUUAUUCAGCAUGCUGACUUUUCAUUCUGUACUGUUUCUUCAUGGUCUCAAUAUGGCUUCCAUGGCUGGAGAUGUCAUGUCCUCACAUCAUUGCAUCAAGUAAGAAAGAAGGGAGAAGACGGAAGGAGGCUUAAUUCUUGUUAAUGAAAAAUCCCUCUUUCUUAGAGUCUCCAUAGAAGUUCUUAUAUCUUAUGGGCUAGAACUGUUUCAUAUAUUUACUCUACCUCCAAGACAGGCUGGAAAAGUGAGUGCCUGGCCAGGACAAGGGAAUUGGAUUUCCAUGAUUAUGAUUCAUAGCUCUGGCAGGACAUCUGCUUCUCUGAGAUCAAGGAACUUCCUGCCUGUGGCUGAACAAAACUAGCAGGGCUCAAACUCAUGACCCAACCAAGAUCAAGAGUCACACUCUCUUCCAGCUAAGCCAGGUGGGUGCCCCUGGGUGUUUAAAACAAACAUUGUUGGCAACACCUUUUCAAAACAUCCUGUUCCAUUUAAGCUGAUUUGAUUGUAUCUCUUACUUAUAACCAAAAGAAUCUUGACUACUGUAAAAGGGAAUGCCUACCCGUUUCUCUGGUUUACCUAAUCACUCUUGGCCUCCUGCCCCAUCCUUUACCCCUUCCCAGGGAGGUGGAGUCAGGUACCUGGUUGGCGUGGGAUAGAUUUCUCCACUGGAUGGGAAUGAUUUAUCAAUAGUCCUGGCUUGGGGGGUCUGGUUUCUUUCUUUCUCCUUUCCCACCAGGACCAGUGGGAGUGAGCAACACGCAUACGCAUUGCAGACUCAAACUUUCCCUUAGGUGGGUUGCCCAAGGUCUAGACUAGAGGUUAGACGUUUGCUGUCACACUCAAGCCACAUGCUCCCAGACCCCUUAUAACAGUAAUAAAGGUGAUAUUUUGUCAGGUGACAUCUUUGUCAGUUAUAUAAUUGUGGGACCUAGUACAAAAUGGAAAGUGCCAAGAAUUGCAAUACAGUGAUGGCAUAGUAUUAACCCAAGUGCAGCUCACACCGUCCCCAAGCCCACCAAUCUAACCCUGCACUUUGCUUGUGCAUCUCUCAACCUUUUGUCUUAUUUCUCGGUUUGUUCAGAACUUUGAUAAGAAUGAGAGUAUUAUUUAUUGGGCCCCUUCGAGUCUCAACAACACCUAAUUUUCAGAAGCUACCCCUUUCCUUCCCUUGUCCAUCCCCCAGUGUGCUCAUGAACAUGCCUACACAGUUCUCCAACUCACGUCAGCGUAGCUUCCAGUCACCCCUAUAGUUUCAGAUCUUCAUCAAAAUUACAGAAAUGAAUAUACAGAAUAUUGGCUUUGGCAUAUACAGACUUGGGUUCUGAUUUUCCCUCCGCUGUUCACUAGCAUAAGGAUUUGAGUCAGUUACUGAUCCUCCAAGGAGAUCCAGUUUCCUCAUUUGCAAGGCUCCACACCCAGCAUGGAGUCCAACAAGGGGCUUGAACUCACAACACUGG